UACGGAGGAUCCGAGCGUUAUCCGGAUUUAUUGGGUUUAAAGGGUGCGCAGGCGGGGGAUUAAGUCGGCGGUGAAAUUUUGCAGCUCAACUGUAAAAGUGCCUUCGAAACUGGUUUCCUUGAGUGUAGAUGAAGUAGGCGGAAUUUGUGGUGUAGCGGUGAAAUGCUUAGAUAUCACGAGGAACUCCGAUUGCGCAGGCAGCUUACUAAACUACUACUGACGCUCAGGCACGAAGGCGUGGGGAUCAAACAGGAUUAGAUACCCCCGUAGUCCCUGAG
rnacentral:rRNA from 1 species